rnacentral:rRNA from 1 species
GAUGAACGCUAGCGGGAGGCUUAGCACAUGCAAGUCGAGCGGGAAGGGUAGCAAUACCCUGAGAGCGGCGCACGGGUGCGUAACGCGUAUGCAACCUGCCUUAUACAGGGGGAUAGCCCAUGGAAACGUGGAUUAACACCCCAUAGGACUGGAUUUUCGAAUGGGCAUUUAGUUACAGAUACGGUGGUAUAAACUGGGCAUGCGGCUGAUUAGGGAGUUGGUAGGGUAACGGCCGACCAAGCCGACGCUCAGUAGGGGUUCUGAGAGGAUUACCCCCCACACUGGUACUGGGACACGGACCAGACUCCUACGGGAGGCAGCAGUGAGGAAUAUUGGUCAAUGGGCGAGAGCCUGAACCAGCCAUCCCGCUUGCAGGAUGACGGCCCUAUGGGUUGUAAACUGCUUUUCUGCUCCAAGAAACCUGAUUACGAGUAAUCAGUUGACGGUAGAGUAGAAAUCAGCAUCGGCUAACUCCGUGCCAGCAGCCGCCGUAACAC